rnacentral:lncRNA from 1 species
AUGAAUAAAUGACAAGAAAUGCAGUAGCAUCAUUUUUAAAGUAUGACUUUACAUAAGUAAUCAAGCACAUAAGCUUGUGACAUCAAUUUUGCAGAACCUUACAGCUACAAAAUGCUAUAAUAACAGUUAAAGUCAAGUAAUGUUUGUAACAGACAGUGCGGUUUAAAUUUCAAUGUUAACAGUUCAGUGCAACACUUAAUUUGUUUGCUAAUUAGGGCAAUACAAAAUUCAAAUAGUUUAAACUCUAACUAAAUUCACAACCUCACUCAUAAAAAACGAACUCCUAAAAUUAUCUAUAAAUGCUGGGCUGGUGGGUUUUUAUAACAGAGAUAACUUGAAGUUGCAUGAACUCCUAAAAUUAUCUAUAAAUGCUGGGCUGGUGGGUUUUUAUAACAGAGAUAACUUGAAGUUGCAUGAACUCACCUCACCUCGAAUUAAUUGUAAGUUGCCAGGAUGUCUACAAAUUCCGAAGAUGCUGGUCCAAGCAGCUAUAAAUGGCGCUAAUACGAGUUCAAAACUGCGUCCGUUAGCGAAGACAGCUCAGCAGCGUCAUUUUCAGGUGACGUCAUCACACAAUGUGAUGUCGCUCUUUCUUUCUUUAGGAGGAGGUUUGAUCAGAAGUCACGUCUUGCCUUGCUUCCCCUUUUUUUGGUGAAAUGGUUCGCUCAUACUGCACAAUGUUGCUACCAGAAAACAUUUUUUCUCUGCAAUUCGAACGUAAAACGUCUGUACACAGUUUACCAGCAACCAAUCAACAGCGAUCACACAAACUAAAAACUUAAGGCGGACCCACCUAAGGUGGUCUGAUAAUAUGGCGUGAAACAUAACAUAAAGUUGUUUUAAAUUAAUAAUUAAAAAAGAUUAUUGAAAUCAAUUUUAUUCACAACCAUGAACUUUAUUUUAAACUUCUUCUUUUGCUGUGUUUUUUUUUUUUAUCAGAAGGUUAACAAUGAUAUACUGCAGGCCUAACUUUUAAUCUGUAUAUCAGUAUCUGAAUUUUAAAAUAAAAAAUACUAUAAAUUUUAUUGUCUUUUACUGCUGAUAUUUGCUUUUUUUAAAUUGUAUUUACUGGUUGUAUUAUUACGGUGGACCCUAUUUUUUAACAUCUUGCUUCUGUAAAAAUGAAUGUUUUGUUUGCUUAAAAAUCUACAGAUUUAUACUGUGAAUUCCAAUGUGCACAACCCCAAAAGAUGUAGUUUUAGUCAAAUAAUACCGUAAAAUCUAAGGUUUUCAGACAUUUUCAACAUUACAAUAUUUAAUUGUAAAAUGUAUGCAUAUUUAUUUGUUUUCACAGAAAAUAUUUAUAAUUUCAACAUUUUAUUACAGUAAAAAACAAAGUUUUAUCCAGUCUCACAAUUAACGGUUAUUCAAUCUAUUUAAUACAGUAAAAGGAAGUUUUUGGUUUUACGCUCCAUUACCGUUGGAAUUUGACGGUGUUUUGCUGUAUAUUUUACUGACUUUUUUUACAGUGUACACCUAUGAAUGGCUUGAAGGUGAGUAAAUCAUGGGGUAAUUUUCAUUUUUGGGUGGAUUAUCCUUUUAAAGACUGGACCACAUUUUUAUAAGUAAUCAUUGCAGAUACCCAGGAGGAAAUAUAUCCCUUUUCUAUUUUUAGUAAUCCAUUCCUUCAGACACACACAAACAUGCACACACACAUGCAUACUGUACAUAUACAAAGAUCAGAAAGUCACUUUCUCCUACAAGCAUAUUUUUACGGGUCAUUCUUAGGUAAU